UACAGAGGGUGCAAGCGUUGUUCGGAAUUAUUGGGCGUAAAGCGCGUGUAGGCGGCUUUGCAAGUCGGGUGUGAAAGCCCUCGGCUCAACCGAGGAAGUGCGCCCGAAACUGCAGAGCUUGAGUACCGGAGAGGAUGGCGGAAUUCCCCAAGUAGAGGUGAAAUUCGUAGAUAUGGGGAGGAACACCAGUGGCGAAGGCGACUACCUGGCCUGUUCUUGACGCUGAGGCGCGAAAGCUAGGGGAGCAAACGGG
rnacentral:rRNA from 1 species